CUUCUCCUCCUUGGCUGAGGAAGGCCUCCCCCGGUGCCCAGAAGGCCCAGGGCCCCCCAGCUCUUUGGAUCAGAGGCAAGAAGGAGGGGGGAGCAGCCAGGAGGGUCCAUGAGCGGGAGGGGAGGAACAAGGCGCCAGGAGCCCAGAGCGGCAGGCCGUGACCCUCCAGACCGCCCACCGCGAGACCAUCGCCUCUCUGCGCACUCAGGUGACGGGGCUGGGCAGGCACCGGGGCCAACACAACCUGAAAUGAUGGUGCCUCACAUGCUAAGAGGAGAGGAAGGAGAAGACAUCGCCGCCUCCAGAGAACGCCAGGGAAUAAUGAGACAAAGGCUGGCAUGGAAACGCAAGCGACAUGUCCGGCGGAACGCUCUCGACUCUGCCCCAUGGAUCGUGGCCAGUUCUGCGAGUUUGGAAACGCGCUCCCGCAUUCCUGCCUGCCAUGGACGUGAGGCUCCUGGAACCAGUUGUAACACCGUCCUGACAUCUUCAUUCAUUAACGAGCUAGAUAAA